rnacentral:rRNA from 1 species
UAGAGUUUGAUCCUGGCUCAGAACGAACGCUGGCGGCGCGCUUAACACAUGCAAGUCGAACGAGAAGGCGUAGCAAUACGCUUGUACAGUGGCGAACGGGUGAGGAAUACGUGGGUAACCUACCCUCGAGUGGGGAAUAACCAGCCGAAAGGUUGGCUAAUGCCGCGUACGCUUCCCGGUCUGCGGAUCGGGAAGGAAAGCCGUACAAAGUGUGCGGCGCUCAAGGAUGGGCUCACGUCCUAUCAGCUUGUUGGUGAGGUAACGGCUCACCAAGGCCUCGACGGGUAGCUGGUCUGAGAGGACGAUCAGCCACACUGGCACUGCGACACGGGCCAGACUCCUACGGGAGGCAGCAGUGAGGAAUAUUGCGCAAUGGGCGAAAGCCUGACGCAGCGACGCCGCGUGGGGGAUGAAGGUCUUCGGAUUGUAAACCCCUUUCGGGAGGGAAGAUGGGACGAGCAAUCGUUCGGACGGUACCUCCAGAAGCAGCCACGGCUAACUUCGUGCCAGCAGCCGCGGUAA